ACACAGUCGGUGAAGUGGUUGUCAUGCUUGCCUUCCAUGUUCGAGACGAGGUUAUCGCAAGCGGUUCGGGUUCGAUUCCUGAGCGGUGUA